AUGGACGUCCGUGGUAACGCAGCCGAGUCGCAGAGCGCACGCGCCUCGCCCGGUCCGCGCGACCACGUGCUCGGUCCUGACUCACACAUGGUAAGCGCGUCCACAUGUGUGCCACAUGAUGAUCGCAUCGAGCAGAUGUGCGUGGGGCACUUUAACGUCGUCGAGGUGGCUUUGACUGCUUGUUUUUGUUUUAUAUUGUUGUUUGAUAAUGCACAUUUAAUUAAAAAAAUUGCUGUAAACGUGCCAAAUGAAUUGGCCAAAGGGCUUUGCGUCAAAUGUAGUCCCAAGUGGCAGGUGUUACAAAAAUAAACCGAAAAUGAGGUUACAUUUAAGAUGUUAAAACAAUAUUGAUACUUUACAAUGCAUGCAGAGGUUUGCUUUACCCUUUUUUUUGAUCAAGUGUUGCCUCUGAUAAGCUAUAACCAACAGUGUGGAAAUCGACUGG
ensembl:lncRNA